rnacentral:lncRNA from 10 species
GGGAGAUGGGGAGAUGAUCGUCCUAUAGAAAAGGGUGCAGAAUCAGUGCAUUUAGGCAAAGUAACGAUGAUGCUGCUAAUGAAUGAAGGACACUCACCCAAGAUUUGGCAGCAAGAUCAUAGAGCAAAACGAGGGCAUCAGAUUACAGGGACAUUUGCUGAAGUUAAGGGGAUCACUCUUAUCCUGAUUUCUACUGCCUUUGUUUAUCAUGCAUAAAGCAAUUACGCGAACUUAAAGUAUAAUAAUAAAAAAAUAGUAAUAAAGAAACUCUUCUCUCAAGGAGUUUAUAUUUUGGCUGGAAAGACUGGAUCUACAUAACAAGGUAUUUGCUAAUAUUCAACCCAGGUAGAUUGCAGCCUCCGCAACGGCAAAGACUGUAUCAACUCGAAUAAAAGGAAAUCAGCUAAAAAUGGCUCAGUCAAGAAGAUAUUUAUCUCACAGAACAAGGAUUUCAGAGACGGGGUGUGGUCACUUUGACUAAUUCACUGGUUCAAAGUUAUGCCCAAGCUGCAGGAUUCACUUCUCUGUGAUUGUCUUGGCUUUCCCCUCAUGGUUGCAAGACCACUCCUGCUGUUCCAGAAGUCCCAGGUGGUGUCAAUGUCUAGAGUCAUAAAAGGAAAUGCCUUUCCAGUUUUAAGAAUAAGUGAGACCUUCCAAGAAGUCUCUCAACACAUCAGUCAUAGGCCAAAGUUGCCUCAUGCACUCAGGACUAAACCAAUAACUUGUAAAAAACAGUGGCAGGUAAAACUGCCAGCACCUUAGCAUGAAUCAAGGGAGUGGCAUCCAGUUCUGCUGGUAGCCAUCGUAUUAUUCACUGCCGCCUGCUCACAGUAAA